rnacentral:lncRNA from 1 species
CAAAUCUCUUUACUUCAAAGUCAGAGCAGAGGAGUUGGAGUUCUAAAUAUUUUCUGAUUUGGAGUGGUGUUCCACGACACUAGCAUGAAACCAACUCUUCAUCAAAGUGGUUUGCUUCAAUCAGGGCUGUACCGAUGCGCUAUAAAUUAUAAAUCAUAUCUUCUGUUUUACAUGGGAAUGGAAGCUUGGAGGUGGCUCGCACUCCAACAGACGGACUUGAGGUAGUUUCAUGUCCUCGGUUGCUUAUGAUUUGCUUCUAAGGUCAUUUUCAAAGACUCUGCCAUUAACUUCAGAGGCAACCCGGCAAGGAGCUUUCAGCAGCUAAGUAUGGGUUUUGGCACGGGUUCUGAUAGUUAAACAAGGCAGCGAGGAAUCACAAACAAGGAGCCAGGAGGGACGAGUGGGAGGGAAAGGUGGCUGGGAGGGAAUGGGGAGAGAGAAAUGACACCCACCGUCAUACUAGUCACCUCUCACUGGGUUCUUGGUUCCUUCCUGGACAAGAAAUGAAAGGGAAGGAGUGCAGAUCUGAGUAGUGACAGGAGUACCAGCAUUUCAGUCUAACCUAUGCUUCUGGUUUUCCCUGGGGCUGUGGGAAAGCUGAAGACCCCAGUCAUCCAUCACAUUCAUGGUCCCACCUUAAGUCCAGGAUCAUUUUAUCUUGAAAUGAUCAAAUAAGACAGCCCCCCCCCCCUCAGAUUGUAGGUAGACUUGAAGGGUGUGUGUGUGGCUACCAUCCAGCCUCCCACAUCCCUUGAGCAUGCUGCUGUCCUGGCUGUGAUCUCUCUCGUGCCCAACUUGUACCUUCUCUUUUGAGAACAGCCCAGGUUGGUGUCCCAUUCACAAUCCCCCUGCCUUAGCUCCCUAAGUGCUGGGUUUUUAGUCCUGUUGCAAUCACUUCGCACUUUCCCUGUGCUCUUUGGAGCCUCUGAAUCUAGUAUCUAAAGUGCUUGCUAAUGGUUGGUACAGCCAGGAUCCUUGGGACUCUGUCUGCUCUGACACCCCGAGGUUCUAGACACCACCGACAGUGCACAUCAUCUCAGUGAGGACCAAAGAAGCUUUGGAAUCAGGUGGACAGAAGACAGUGGCUGCAGAGUAUGUUAUAGAAAACCAGGAGCUGAUAUGAUAAUGGUGGUGAGUAUAUCUGCGCACACGCACAGCCAGGAGUACACUUGUAUGUGAGAAAAGACUGUUUGACCAAGCUGGAUUCCUUGUCUAUGUGCCUGGGCAAGGCAUGGUUUCCCAUAUGUGUUCCUUCCUGCUGUGUUUUAUUGCUUGGGGUGCCCAUCUUCCGCUCUUGGGAGAUACAUUAGUAAUCCGUGUUCCAGAGGUUUACUUUCAAAGUUUUCAAUGACCUGUGGUUAAGUGAGAUCCCAGAAUAUGAAACGGAAAAUUACAGUAAAAAAAAAAUUCUAAGUUUGGAAUUGCGUGCUGUUCUGUGUAGUGUGAUGAAAUCUUUUACCACACCAACCAGGACAUGAAUCACCCCAUAGCCUAGCACAGCAUGCUGCAUGCGUCACAGAGCUGUUAGUCACUCCCUAGCUGUCUCCUUCGUCAGACCAACUGUUGCAUAUCACAGUGCUGUGGAGCUGGUGAUUCAGGUAUGUCCUCCCAAGGGACAAAGAGUGAGUUGGGGGUAUCAGUCAUGUGCCGCACAAACACCCCACUUCUUUCUUCCAUCCAGCACAUGGUAGGUACUCCUCAAGCCCUUUUAAAGUUUUGGCACGGACAAGGGAAUGUAAGCAAAAGUGAUACAUUACUUCCAGGAGGAAGCAUGAUUUUCUACCUCCUUUCCCCACUGCUGCAGAAACAGAAGCACCCAUUGAACACCAGUCUCUGAAUAAAGGAAUCUGUUUGCAGAGCCCCCUGCUGGCCGGUGGUGGACACACAGUACAAAAGAGAAAUCACCACACUGCUUUACAUUUCUGAGCAGGCUUGUUACUGCAGCAUGACACAACCUCUUCUGGCUAAAUAAAUAAUGUACGUGACGUACUUGCUUUUGUAACUCCUAUAACAUAUAGUGUCCGAUGUUUAGUAGGUUCUCAAUAAUAUUUGAUAAAUUAAGCAGUGAAUGUAAACACAUUUAGCUUGAAAAGGAACAGCCAUCCAUCACAUAUAUAAACAAAGUAGCUGCUGUACUAAGGGGAAAUGGGGUUUGGAAUUAGAUAGUGUAGAUAGCGUUUCAAACUGGAACAAAUGUAUGCUUUAAUCAUACCUAUCUCAUUGGUAGGGUUGUGAUUUAAACUAUUGCCUUUAGCAUAUUUAUUUUAUUGAUGCCUUAGUAAUUAAAAAGAAAAGAAAGAAAAGAGAAAAAGAAGGCAGGAAAAAGAAUUAGUAGUUGCUGGUGAUAUAAAACAAGGCAGAAGACUCAGCAGGUGGUAGAGAUAACAGUUUUCUACUCUCAAGGCUUGACUUAAUGUGAGAGCUUGCCCAUUACUCACUAUUCUUAUCUUUUGACUCAUCCCGCUCAGUUAUUUAUUCUCCAAGUAUUUAUUGAGCAGGUAGGUGCUGAGUCCUUGGCUAGGUGGCUGAUUCUCUCCUGAAGCUCAGCUGUGUAAGGUGUUAAGAGCCAGCAUAAGGACUGCCACAGUCAGCUCCAAAGAUUGGUGGGAGGAGGAAUCCAUCAGAUUUGGGACCAAAGACUUGCUUUGUUUCACUACCUUGUAUCUUCUCAUUCCAUAGUUCUCCAGCCCUUCAAUUUCCUUCCCUACAGCUGGUCCUCAACGCCUUUGUCUGGCACAGCAGCUCUCUGAGAGAGAGGAGAGGAAUACAUUGUUCCCAUUUGUAAGGUGAAGAAACUGGCACCAAGAGAAUGAGACAGAGGCCGAAUGAAGACACUGUGGCCAGCAACUUAUGCUCACUGUCAGAGGAGAACAGCUGCUCCAAGCAGGAAAGCUGGUCAGAGACUAGUGACUUCCUCACCUGGUGAAGGUCAUUUGAUGACUCAGUAUCAAAGUCAGCACUAAAAUGAAAACAACAAUAACAAGAAAAGGUAACAAUUGUUGGCAAGAGCCCUGUGUGUUACUGACAGAAAGUUAGAUGGUACAGCCCCUGAGGAUAAACGGUAAGGUGGUACCUCAAAAAAUUAAACGUGACUUACCUGAAGAUACAGAAACUUCAUUCCCACCUGCCAGCGGGUCCAGAGGAACCAGAGAAGAUAUUUGUAAACCUACAUUGUUAACAACGUUAUUUACAUUAUCUAGAAGGCAGAAGCAACCCUUGUCCAUAAUAGGCAAACGGACACACCACAUGGCAUGUACACCUCCCAGGGAAUCUCAUUUCAUUGUUGAAGGAAGAAAAUGCCAGGGCACCCUGCAGCAGAAGGAACAUGGAGGACACUGGGGAGGGGCCAGCUGGACCAGGAUGAGACUCUACUUUGAAAGAAAUGCCACAGAGCUUCUAGAUAUCAAUCACAUACAAGAGGCAGCUGAGGGCCACUUCAAGCCUAAUGGGAAGUGAGCAGCUAUACAUUUUAAAUGAAUAAAAAUUAAAACAGGUUUUUCCUGAUCGUGGCCAGAUCCCAGUAUAAAGAAAACAAAGGUACCAUCAAAAUUUCUUUGUUACUCUAAGGGCUUUCCAAUCAAUAUUGUAUAAAGCAAGCAAGUCAUUGGCUAGGUUUUGAAAUUUCUUUUAUAAUUUGAAGCUUUGGGGUGGGGGUGUGAGCUAUAAUGAGAGCUGACCUGUAAAAGUAAAAUUUCUUUUUUGUAAAGUGGCAUUAAAAAAAAUCUUCCCCGACAGUGACAGGUUGUGGCAAUAAGUGGCCCGUGAUCUUUGCAGACAAGCAGACAAAGAGUGUGGCCAGUCAUCGUUAAACACAGAGCUUGAUGGUUACAACUUUUUCGACAGCCAGCUUCCAUGGAAAGUAUACUAGACGAAUUGUCAAGUCCUUUCACUGAAUACAGGAAAUUUCUCCUUGUCACUUAGCAGCCAUAUGUCACACACAAGAUUUAAUGACAUCACCUUGGCCAAGAUUCAGGAAUUCGGGACUCCAAGUUAUCCUGAACAGUCUAAAACCGAAAAUGGAAAGAUGAUUUUGCUUUGAGUCCAUGUGAACUCUGUGGAUGAGGGGAUGGACGCGGAGAACAUCUAUUCUGAGUAGAUGAGUUAAACAUAAAACUCUCAACACCAGUGAGGAAAUCAGAUUCCACGUUCACUUAAACUGUCCGCAGAGACCUUCAUUUUACAAACAAGAAACCCAGUGAAGGAAAGUCUGGCCUGGCAUUCCUUUCAUUUGCAGAUGUUGUGUAUCCUCAUUAUUCAUUGUAAACAGAGAAGGCUCCGUGCCACCUCAGUCAUACUGCAGGAGGAUGUUUUCACCAGCUCAGAAAAGGGGGGAAUGGGUGUAAAAAUAUUUAUGCUGCAUUUUCCAGGACUGUGUUUGAUUUCCUUUUUGGUUUGUUUAUUUUGUGGAAUGAGAGGGAUGGUGCAUCUUAUUUUUACAAGCUUGUAUUGUUACCCCAGGAAUGUUUUGGCAGAUGCAAAAUUAAAAACAAACUUCAUGUUUUCUUCAGUGCCCUUCAGGGCCCGAAAGGACAGGAACAAAGUAUCGUGGUUUGUCAUCAGAGCGCCAGGAAGCCACAAGGAAACGGAGUUUAUGAACCAAAUUGCUCAAAACGGGAAAGAAAUGAAAAAUGUGCAGCAGAUGCUCCCAGACUGGAGAACAAGCCAGAGGAAGGCCCACAGCAAAGCUUAUUGGCCUUCAACAAUAGCUGUUUGCACGCACAUGCGCGCGCAUGCGCACACACACACACACACACACACACACACACACACACACACCAAUUCUCUUCUAUAGUCAUUUCCCUGGGAUUUGAAAUUGAUAACUGUGGACACAAAGACACACUUGGCCUAAUUUGUCAGGCUAUUUGGAGUCAUGGGUGUCACCCUGCAUGUCUGGUAUGUGUACAGAUGGCUCCUGCUGGCUUCAAUAAAAUUGGAAAGCAGAAAGUCUGUAAUUUUUUUUCCAGACCAUUUAAAGGGGUUGCUUGUCAGUGCCCUGGUGUUGAAAUGGGAAUGUUAUACUGACUUUCUGGAAGUGUUCCCCAUGUUUAUAGACUGGUAACACAAUGUGUGGGUGAAAGAGAGAGCGAGCCAAUCAAUACUGUCAUCCAGUCUACUGAGUGCUUCAGCCAAACGUGCCCCCCCC